GAUGUUGUAUAUAGUGUUGCAUAUGUUUAAUGUAGGUAAAUAUAUGAUCGUAAGUUGGCUACAGGUGACAAGGGAGUGGUCUUGUCACUUGACGUUGACAUUUUUAGAUUUAGACAUACUUGUAAUCUUGUAAACAAUACAUACAUGGAGUUCUUAAUAAAUUAUAAUAAAACAA
rnacentral:lncRNA from 1 species